UGGCUCAGUUAGUAAAGUGCUUGUCUUGCAAACAUGAGGACCUGGGUUCGAUCCCCAG
rnacentral:tRNA from 1 species